CCUACGGGGGGCAGCAGUGGGGGAUAUUGCACAAUGGGGGAAACCCUGAUGCAGCAACGCCGCGUGAGGGAAGAAGGUCUUCGGAUUGUAAACCUUUGUUUUUGGUGACGAAAGAAAUGACGGUAGCCAAAGAGGAAGCUCCGGCUAACUACGUGCCAGCAGCCGCGGUAAUACGUAGGGAGCGAGCGUUGUCCGGAAUUACUGGGUGUAAAGGGUGCGCAGGCGGGACAUUAAGUUGGAUGUGAAAUGCCGGGGCUCAACCCCGGAGCUGCAUCCAAAACUGAAGUUCUUGAGUGAAGUAGAGG
rnacentral:rRNA from 1 species